GGGGUAGGUUUAGUACGUAGGCGCCAUGGAUGGUCAAUCGUGCAUGCUACGGGCAUGGUACGGGCCAGUAGCAUCUUUGGAGGAUUCUUAUCUCC
rfam:Glossina brevipalpis unplaced genomic scaffold Scaffold147, whole genome shotgun sequence.